GGCCGCGGGAAUUCCAUUCAGGCCUACACAUGCAAGUCGAGCGGUAGAGAGAACCUUGCUUCUCUUGAGAGCGGCGGACGGGUGAGUAAUGCCUAGGAAUCUGCCUGGUAGUGGGGGAUAACGUUCGGAAACGGACGCUAAUACCGCAUACGUCCUACGGGAGAAAGCAGGGGACCUUCGGGCCUUGCGCUAUCAGAUGAGCCUAGGUCGGAUUAGCUAGUUGGUGAGGUAAUGGCUCACCAAGGCGACGAUCCGUAACUGGUCUGAGAGGAUGAUCAGUCACACUGGAACUGAGACACGGUCCAGACUCCUACGGGAGGCAGCAGUGGGGAAUAUUGGACAAUGGGCGAAAGCCUGAUCCAGCCAUGCCGCGUGUGUGAAGAAGGUCUUCGGAUUGUAAAGCACUUUAAGUUGGGAGGAAGGGCAGUUACCUAAUACGUGAUUGUUUUGACGUUACCGACAGAAUAAGCACCGGCUAACUCUGUGCCAGCAGCCGCGGUAAUACAGAGGGUGCAAGCGUUAAUCGGAAUUACUGGGCGUAAAGCGCGCGUAGGUGGUUAGUUAAGUUGGAUGUGAAAUCCCCGGGCUCAACCUGGGAACUGCAUUCAAAACUGACUGACUAGAGUAUGGUAGAGGGUGGUGGAAUUUCCUGUGUAGCGGUGAAAUGCGUAGAUAUAGGAAGGAACACCAUUGGCGAAGGCGACCACCUGGACUGAUACUGACACUGAGGUGCGAAAGCG
rnacentral:rRNA from 1 species